UCGGGAAUUUUGGGCAAUGGGCGAAAGCCUGACCCAGCAACGCCGCGUGAAGGAUGAAGUAUUUCGGUAUGUAAACUUCGAAAGAAUAGGAAGAAUAAAUGACGGUACUAUUUAUAAGGUCCGGCUAACUACGUGCCAGCAGCCGCGGUAAUACGUAGGGACCAAGCGUUGUUCGGAUUUACUGGGCGUAAAGGGCGCGUAGGCGGCAAUUCAAGUCAUCUGUGAAAUCUCCGGGCUUAACUCGGGACGGUCAGAUGAUACUGCUUUGCUAGAGUGCAGAAGGGGCAAUCGGAAUUCUUGGUGUAGCGGUGAAAUGCGUAGAUAUCAAGAGGAACACCUGAGGUGAAGACGGGUUGCUGGGCUGACACUGACGCUGAGGCGCGAAAGCCAGGGGAGCAAACGGGAUUAGAUACCCAAGUAGUCCCUGAGCGGGC
rnacentral:rRNA from 1 species